GGGGUUAAGACGAGGCGAAUAAAUGAGUGGAAAUAAGGAAGGUGGUGGAAUGGAGUACCGGUGAUAUUAGGGUGGGUAUAGGGGUUGUGGUUAUAAGAUAACUGGGAUAGUUGCGCGGGUGACUGAUAUAGUGGGUGUAAUAAAUGGGGGUAUUUCAUAUGAUAGCGGCGGUGGUUAAAAAGGCAUUAGUUACAUCCGCAGGUAUUCUUCGGACGGGUGAGUAACGCGUGAGAAUCUAGCUUCAGGUCGGGGAUAACAGUUGGAAACGACUGCUAAUACCGGAUGUGCCGAAAGGUAAAAGGCUUGCUGCCUGAAGAUGAGCUCGCGUCUGAUUAGCUAGUUGGUGUGGUAAGAGCGCACCAAGGCGACGAUCUUUAGCUGGUUUGAGAGGAUGAUCAGCCACACUGGGACUGAGACACGGCCCAGACUCCUACGGGAGGCAGCAGUGGGGAAUUUUCCGCAAUGGGCGAAAGCCUGACGGAGCAAUACCGCGUGAGGGAGGAAGGCUCUUGGGUUGUAAACCUCUUUUCUCAAGGAAUAAGAAAGUGAAGGUACUUGAGGAAUCAGCAUCGGCUAACUCCGUGCCAGCAGCCGCGGUAAUACGGAGGAUGCAAGCGUUAUCCGGAAUGAUUGGGCGUAAAGCGUCCGCAGGUUGCUAUGUAAGUCUGCUGUUAAAGAGCAAAGCUUAACUUUGUAAAAGCCAGUGGAAACUACAUAGCUAGAGUGCGUUCGGGGUGGGGGGAAUUCGUGGUGAAGGGGUGAAAUCCCACAGUUCUCCUCGGACGGGUGAAACGCGGACAAUGGGAUUAGACNCCCCUGUCUUCUCGAUGGGAACGCGGUCAUU
rnacentral:rRNA from 1 species